UACAGGGGAGGAGCAGUGUUAGUGAAUUACUGGGCGUAAAGGGCUCGUAGGCGGCCAACUAAGUCAGUGUGAAUGACCUCCGCUAACCUGGGAACCGGAUCGUCGUCGUAUACUGGAUGGCUAGAGGUUGGGAGAGGGAUGCGGAAUUCCAGGUGUAGCGGUGAAAUGCGUAGAUAUCUGGAGGAACACCGGUGGCGAAGGCGGCAUCCUGGACCAAUUCUGACGCUGAGGAGCGAAAGCCAGGGGAGCAACGGG
rnacentral:rRNA from 1 species